GGGCCAUAGCUCACUGGUAGAGCAUCCGUUUUGCAUGCAGAAGGUCCCAGGUUCUAUCUCUGCCGUCCCCA